rnacentral:misc_RNA from 1 species
AUCCUCUAAAACCUCCAUCCAUUCCACCAGCAACAUUUGCACCACCUCCGAGGAAGUUGCCUAACAAUUCACCACCCAGCCAUCCAAGACAUCCUCUAAAACCUCCAUCCAUUUCACCAGUUAAGCAUAAUAUAUCCCCUGUAUCAAUUCCGUGGCCAAGCAUCAACCGCAAAAGAGCAAGUGCUCCAACUGUUGCACCUA